GGAGAGAGAAACAAAACAAAAAAAAAACUAAAAACAACGGUGGGAUCGGAACAGCCUGCUGACAGGCCAACUAACACCUAUGGCGAUGCAUUCCUCGCCACUAAUUCGACUGCAGUUCUGCAAACUCUCAUGCCCAUGCAGAAUGGGGUGAAGCUAGGCUGCACGGUUUAGUUUCGUCGUUUCAGGCAGCUAAUCUCAGUAGUAGCUGGGAAAAAGAUCCUUGAGCUGGACGACGAAGAAGUCGUCGUCAUGGCCGCGGGCAGUGCCGCGGCGGCUUUUGCAUCCCUCCUCGAGGCAGUUGCCGUCCACCUUGCGGAGGCAGCCGAGGUCGCUGCAGCUGAUCCCCGGGAUGACGUGGCCGGCGGCGCCGUCGUCCCCGGUGGCGGCGUGGCGGCUGCACGUCUCCACGGUGAGGUCGUCCAGGGUGCCCUCCCGGUACACGAUGAGCCCGUCCUCCUCCGGGCUGCAGUUCCGCAUCGGCCGGAACACCUUGUCGAACGCGCGGUCGUGCGGGCUCGUCACCGGCAUCAGCCUGCGCAGGGCAAGAUCAAGAAGACGACGAGCGAGGA
rnacentral:misc_RNA from 1 species